CCUUUCUUAUUUGGAUUGUACAAAUAAAGAGGACCCUCUGGAUCUAAUUAAGAGAUUUUUCACCUGCCAUCAUUCAUUCAUUCAGCUCACAAACAUUUAUGGAACACGUGCAACGUGCACGGCACAAUGUUAAAUACUGUAUUACACUAGGAGUUAUGCCACAGUGGGUCAAUCAUAAAACUACACUCUUAAUUAAUCUUGUGAUUUUUAAUGAUUUAGUUCUUUCAUUCAACAAGGCCUUGGUAACGAUCAAGUGCUAGGCUAGGCAUUGGGGCUGACAAAAUGAACUCACCGUCUCCGCUUUCACGUGCUCAUAAUCUAAUGGGGAAGGCAGAUACAUAAACCAGUAAUUACUGUGCAAUUGAGGUCUCACCAUUAAGGUUUGUGACAGUGUAAUAGAGGCUUGAGUGUGUGUGUGUGCCUGAGUGUGUGUUUGUGUGCACGUGUAACUAGACAGGAGGAAAGUCAGAGAAAAUCUCUCUGAGGAGGAGAACUUGAGCUGGCUCUGGAAGGACAGAGUUUGCAGGGGAGGUAGAGGAGGAUACUGGAGGCAUGGGAAACAGCCUGGGGAAACAGUUGUGGGGGGUGGUCAGGUGAAGCUGGGAGGAUGUGGGGCUACCUGGAGAUGAGGUUGGACAGAAGUGGGAUGAGAGGAUCAUGUUGAGUAUUGUUCAGGCAGAGCCAUGGAACUAGCCUUAUUAAAGACUAUUUUGGCAUAAAAAACAGUAAUUUGAUGUGGUUUAAACCUAUCUCAAAGUGACAUGAUAAUGAUGAAUAAAUAUUAGCAAAUAACUGCACGAAUGGAAACUAUUAUUGCUGCUGUUUUUGUUAUUUGCAUUUCUAUGUCACACCCUGAUUAGAACUGACUUCUCCUAAAUAUGUGCAAACAAUGUGACUGACAAGGGCUUAAUUUCUAAAAUACACGAACAGCUCACAACUCAACAACAAGAAAAGAAACAACCUAAUCAAAAAAAUAUGCAGAAGACCUAAAUAGACAUGUCUACAAAGAAGAUAUAGACACGGCCAGUAGGCACAUGCAAAGAUGCUUAACAUUGCUAAUUAUUAGAGAAAGGCAAAUCAAAACUACCAUGAGGUAUCACCUCACACAGGUCAGAAUGGAUAACAUUAAAAGGUCUGCAAAUAACAAAUGCUGGGAGGGUGUGGAGAAAAGAGAACCCUCCCACACUGUUGGUGGGAAUGCAAAUUGGUCCAGUCACUAUGGAGAACAGUAUGAAGCUUCCUUAAAAAACUAAAAACAGAGCUCUCAUAUGAUAGAGCAAUCCCACUCCUGGGCAUAUAUCUAGAGAAAACUGUAAUUCAAAAAGAUAUAUGCACCCCAAUGUUCACUGCAGCCCUAAUUAUAAUAGCUAAGACAUGGAAGCAAACUAAAUGUCCAUCAACAGAUGAAUGGAUAAAGAAAAUGUGGUAUAUAUACACAAAGGAAUAUUACUCAGCCAUAAAAAGAAUGAAAUAAUGCCAUUUGCAGCAACACCAAUGAACCUGAGUUUAUCAUGCUAAGUAAAGUAAGUCAGAAAGAGAAAGACAAAUACACUUGUAUCACUUGUAUGUGGAAUCUAAAAUACGACACACUGGAGUUCCCAUGUGUUGCAGUGGAAACAAAUCCAACUAGGAGCCAUGAGGUUGCAGGUUUGACCCCUGGCCUUGCUCAGGAUCGAACCCGCAACCUCAUAGUUCCUAGUUGGAUUCGUUAACCACUGAGCCACAGUGGGAACUCCAGGACAGUGCAUUUAAAAGGACCUUUCCAACUGAGAAGGAACCAUUCACAGUCUGGGUUUUUAAACAGUUUUCUCAAAAAAAAAGUGGGUGUGUUUCCUGAGAAGGCAUCAUACUUUUUUUUAAGUGCCACACCUGUGGCAUAUGGAAGUUCCCAGGCUAGGGGUUGGAUGGGAGCUGUAGCUGCUGGCCUGUACCACAGCCACAGCAACUCGGGAUCUGAGACAUGUCUUUGACUUAUGCCGAAGCCAUGCUAGAUCCUUAACUCACUGAGCAAGGCCAGGGAUGGAACCCGCAUCUUCAUGGAUACUAGUUGGAUUCGUUACUGCUGAGCCACAAUGGGAACUUCUGAAAGGUCAUAUUUUUGAAUUUAGACUUAGGUGACAAUGGCUCUGAGUCUAAGUUCUUUUCAUAAGAAACAUCGUGUUGUUAGCAUAGCAUUUGAAAGAGAAAAUAAAUCUAGGGUUCUUUUACAGGGCAAAAUGGAAGCCAUUUUCAGCAGAAUGGAAUAUAUAUAAUUAGUCUUUCCAAUGGAAAACCCUACAAUAAAUACACAAGCCACUUGGUAGGGUCUCUUCUCUCUUCUCUCAUUUGUAUGAGUCAGCUGUGCCAAACUAUAAAAUGCUUCCUGAAAACAAUAUUUUCUUGAUAACUGUGCUGAUUUUUAAAAUUUACAAAAUGUGAACUUCCUCAAAUCCCUUUUUCAGUUCACCAUUUUAGCAUUUGAGAUGCACUCUGCUUGGUACAUGUUCUGAGUAAGGUAUUUUUGGCGCAUCUUCAAAAAUUACCAAGGAAGUAAAACAGUUGACAUAUACCAAGUGACCAAAGCACUUAAUUCAUGCUGAUCUGUCUUUUAAUUUUUAAGUUGCUGAUGACAAAAUCUGACAUCCCUUGACAUCGAGGGCAAUUUCAAGCGCUCUGUCUCCCAGUCAUCAGUUACUACGUUAGCCAGUGAACAGCAACAACAUGUUAUUGGCCUAUAUACGUACGAUGGGUUUAAACAACAGCUUCUUUUUUAUUGUUUGCAUUUUCCCCUUUCCCACUCUCGGCAAGAGUUGAACGUCAUCAAAGCUGAUACCUUGCAAGGCAGAGUUCUAGAGAUGCCAGAUUUAAUUUGCCUUUAUAUGUGAUCAUGUUGUCUCAAGAUGCUUAGGAAUAAUUUUUGUGUGUUGAGGGUGUGUCCUUGCUCAGCUCAGAUAGGACAGAGGCCGUGCGUGCUGCUGGGAUGGAGGGAUGAGAGGAGGCAGGAGGGGAGGAGCUCAGGUUUAUUUGCUGUGGGUUGUCAAGCUCAUGCUCAUUUGUGGAGCUCUGGCUAAUAUCUGGCUCAAUUUCGAGUCAUCUUCCUUGGUG
rnacentral:lncRNA from 9 species